GCGACAGUAGCUCAGUCGGUAGAGCAUCAGCUUCCCAAGCUGAGGGUCGCGGGUUCGAACCCCGUCUGUCGCUCCA
rnacentral:tRNA from 1 species